CCUACGUGAGGCAGCAGUGGGGAAUAUUGCGCAAUGGGCGAAAGCCUGACGCAGCGACGCCGCGUGAGGGAUGAAGGUCUUCGGAUCGUAAACCUCUGUCAGCAGGGAAGAACGGUCACUGUGCUAAUCAGCAGUGAAUUGACGGUACCUGCAAAGGAAGCACCGGCUAACUCCGUGCCAGCAGCCGCGGUAAGACGGAGGGUGCGAGCGUUAAUCGGAAUUACUGGGCGUAAAGCGCUCGUAGGCGGUAUGUCAAGUCAAGGGUGAAAUCCCCGCGCUCAACGUGGGAACUGCCUUUGAAACUGGCAAACUGGAGUGUGUGAGAGGAUAGUGGAAUUCCAGGUGUAGGAGUGAAAUCCGUAGAUAUCUGGAGGAACAUCAGUGGCGAAGGCGACUAUCUGGCACAUAACUGACGCUGAGGAGCGAAAGCGUGGGUAGCAAACAGGAUUAGAUACCCUGGUAGUC
rnacentral:rRNA from 1 species